rnacentral:rRNA from 1 species
UACGGAAGGCGCAGUGGGGAAUAUUGCACAAUGGGCGAAAGCCUGAUGCAGCUAUGCCGCGUGUAUGAAGAAGGCCUUAGGGUUGUAAAGUACUUUCAUCGGGGAGGAAAAAACAAAACUAAUAAUUUUAUUUCUUGACGUUACCCGAAAAAGAAGCACCGGCUAACUCCGUGCCAGCAGCCGCGGUAAUACGGAGGGUGCUAGCGUUAAUCAGAAUUACUGGGCGUAAAGAGCACGUAGGUGGUUUUUUAAGUCAGAUGUGAAAUCCCUGGGCUUUAACCUAGGAACUGCAUUUUGAAACUGAAAUACUAGAGUAUCGUAGAGGGAGGUAGAAUUCUAGGUGUAGCGGUGAAAUGCGUAGAUAUCUGGAGGAAUACCUGUGGCGAAAGCGGCCUCCUAAACGAAUACUGACACUGAGGGUGCGAAAGCGUGGGGAGCAAACAGGGAUUAGAUACC